ensembl:lncRNA
UGAAGACACAGACACAGAAGAAAGAUGGCCAUGUGAAUUUAGAGGUAGAGACUGGAGUUAUGCUGCCACAAGCCAAAGACACCUGGGGCUACCAGAAGCUGGAAGAGGCAAGGAAGGGUCAUUCUCUAGAGACUUUGGAAGAAGUUGACCCUGCCAGCAUCUUGAUUUUGGACUGCUAGCCUCCAGAACUGUGAGAGAAUAAAUUUCUAUUGUUUAAGCCACUAGUCUGUGGCAGCCAUAGUAAACGAAUAAAAUAGGUUUCAAGAAUUAGGAUGUGGGCAUUGUUAGGAGCUAUUAUUCUACCAACCACACCACAGACUCAAGAAGUUCAAGAAACCCCAAGCCCAAGAAACUUGAAGAAAAGUACACCAAGGCACAUCAUAAUUAAGUUGUUGAAAAUCACCGAUAAAAACAAAAGGUCUAGAAGCAGUCAGAGCAAAGAGACACCUUACAUACAGAGGAACAAAGGAGUACAUUCUAGAAGCAGAUUCUAAUCAGAAACAAUGCCAGUGAGAAGUGAUUAGAACAAUAUCUUAAAAGUCCUGAAAGAUAAAAACUAUCAACCUUGAAUUCUAUACCCAGCAAAAAUAUCCUUUGAAAGUGAAUGCAGAUAGACAUUUUCAGACGUACAAAAGCUGAAAACAUUCAUCACCAGCAGACCACAGCUAGAAGAAAUGUUUAAGUCUUUCAGGUGGAAAGAAAAUGAUCCUAGAUGGAAAUCUGGAUCUACAUUAAGGAUGGAAGAACACCAGAAAUGGUAACUACACAGGAAAAGAAUAUCUGUGCAAGGCAAAUAAUUUGGAAAUGGAUUAACCUGCCCAUUUUUCAUGGCCUUUCAAGUAUUCCCCUGGCACUACAGAGAUGAAAGGUGCCAUCAGCAUCUGAGGCCAUUCGGAAAUUUUAGUGACAAAUUGUGUGCCUGGGCCAUCUCAAAACCCUUUGUUGAGAUGGUGAAGCCACAGCAUGGAAGAAGCCUGGAUCCCAUGUGUCACCACUUGGAGGAGAGCAGACCAACCAGGAAUAUACACACUGUACUUUGUGAGAACAAAAAGUAAAGUUUUGGGGUUGUUUGUUCCAUCAAUUAGCCUACUCUGGUCAAUUCAGUCUGUAUCUCUAGAGUCCCUUCAAAGUCUAAUAUUCUAUAAUGCAAAGAGGUCCUUGAUUGAAAGUUGUUCCUCCCUUCGUUUGACUUUUCAUGAUAUAAUAAUAAAUGAAACUGUACAGAAUAACAGAAAGAAGGCCAGGGAAAAAUCCAGAACCAAGUAAAUUUGGGAUGUGCGCAACUUGAGGCUAUGUUGUACAUUUCCUGAGGACAAGGACCUGUACAUCUUUGAUCUCUUUAUAACCCCCUAUUUUUAUAUGUCAUAGGCGCUUAAUCAAUACUGUUGAAUGAAUGAAUGACUGUGUGGGGAGAAGCUAUCAAGUUCUGAUGAUCACAUACCUUGAGAAGUGCUAUGGUCUAAAUGUUUGUGUCUCUCCAAAAUUCGUACAUUGAAAUCCUAAUAUCCAAAGGUGAUGGCCUUGGUAGAUGGGGCCUUUUAGGAGGUGCUUAAGUCAUGAGGGCAGAGGCCUUAUAAAAGCCCUUUUAAAAGAGGCUCCAGAGAGCUAGCCUGCCCCUUCCACCACGUGAGGACACAGCAAGGAGGGGCCGGCUAAACCAGAAAGAGGACCAUCACCAAAACCCAACUCUGCUGGCACCUUCAUUUUAGACUGCCAGACUCCAGAACUGAAAGGAAUAAACUUGCAUUGUUUACAAGCCACCCAGUCUGUGGUAUUUUGUUGUAGCAGCCCGAAUGGACUAAGACAGGAAGCCAGGGCUGCUUAAUUUCUGGGUUAUCAUCAUCCUGAACUCAAUCCUGUCGUGUGUGGAUGAUGGUGCCUUUUCUGUUGGUGAAGGGGGUAAGAGCACAUGCUCUGGGCCCGGAGGAACCAGACAGGCUGGGCUAGAAUCCUCUGUGACCCUGCCUCUUCCUUAGCCCUUCCAUGCCUCAGUUUUCUUAGGUGUAAAAUAGGGAUAAAAAUGCUACAAAACUCCUAGGGUCCUCUUGAGGAUGAAAGGAGUUAACGCAGGUGAAGCAUGUAGCACAGACCUGCUACAAAGUUGAGUAACUUGGAGUUAUGACAAGAAUUCAAAAUGUCUCUAAGUUAAAUCAAGAGAAGACUCCACUCCCCUGUCUAGUUCUGCCACAGCCACUAUCUAAGCCGGUAUAGAUGCUGGCCUUGACAAGAUGCAGCAUGGCACUAGUAUUGUGCUCCAGCGUUGCCUUAUUAAAACAUCAUUAAGUCAUACUCACUCAAGUAAUCAGUGGUACUCAUGGAGCAAGAGUGUGGGUGAUGUGUGAACGAUUUCCUAAUGCAGAUGCCCUUCAGGGUCACCGACUGGCUGAAUGACCUAGAGGUCAAGGUGACUCAAGUUCCCCAAGUUUCAUUUUCUCAUGUGUAAAGUGAGGGAAGAACAAUUACCUACCAUGCAGGCUAUUGGAAGGAUGAAAUCAAAACAAUGUUCCUGAAGCUCAAUGUCUGGCAGGGAGAGGCACUCCUGG